CCUUGUGUUCCAUCAAUAGGAUACGUGCAUUUCUGGUAACGGAAUUGUGCGAAGCUUUCUAGACAAGACAGUAUUUUGAGAAUAAUGCCUGCUGUAUAGUAACGUCAGGUGCGGGAAGUUAUGGGUAU
rfam:Cyclobacterium lianum strain CGMCC 1.6102 genome assembly, contig: Ga0070154_112